GAUCAUGGCUCAGGAUGAACGCUGGCGGCGUGCUUAACACAUGCAAGUCGAACGGAACUCAGAGGAAGAGAGACUCGGUCAAACGGAGACUGAGUUAGUGGCGGACGGGUGAGUAACGCGUGAGCAACCUGCCUUUCAGAGGGGGAUAACGUUUGGAAACGAACGCUAAUACCGCAUAAUACAGAGAGUUCGCAUGGACAUUCUGUCAAAGAAAUAAUCGCUGAAAGAUGGGCUCGCGUCCGAUUAGGCAGUUGGUGAGGUAACGGCUCACCAAACCGACGAUCGGUAGCCGGACUGAGAGGUUGAACGGCCACAUUGGGACUGAGACACGGCCCAGACUCCUACGGGAGGCAGCAGUGGGGAAUAUUGCACAAUGGGGGGAACCCUGAAUGCAGCAACGCCGCGUGAAGGAAGACGGUUUUCGGAUUGUAAACUUCUGUUCUUAGUGACGAAGAAGUGACGGUAGCUAAGGAGCAAGCCACGGCUAACUACGUGCCAGCCGCGGC
rnacentral:rRNA from 1 species